CAACUCCCGUCAUGCCCCACCGAAGACGGCAAGGUCCCUCGCAGGAAACCGGCCCCCAGCCCGGCGCCCCUAACCUUUGCUCACCUCCCACCCCUCGUUAAUAGUUGCUCAGCGAGCCUCUGGCCUUUUUCCAAGGAGCUUUACCACCCCAGGUGCCAGAGCACUGCUAAUACUCCCAAAGAGGCGUGGCUUCGGGACCGGAAGAAGCUUUUGUUGCCAGGGAAACGCGGCGCGCCAAGGCGGCAGACCAGGCGUGGAUGUUCGGCCUGAGCUGAUUUGUCAUAUUUGAGUCACAUUAUGGGAUUGCUAGACAGACUCUCAGGCUUGCUUGGCCUGAAGAAGAAGGAGGUUCAUGUUUUGUGCCUUGGUCUAGAUAAUAGUGGCAAAACAACAAUCAUCAACAAACUUAAACCUUCAAAUGCUCAAUCUCAAGAUAUAGUUCCAACAAUAGGAUUCAACAUAGAGAAAUUCAAAUCAUCCAGUUUAUCUUUUACAGUGUUUGACAUGUCAGGUCAAGGAAGAUACAGAAAUCUCUGGGAACACUAUUAUAAAGAAGGACAAGCCAUUAUUUUUGUCAUUGAUAGUAGUGAUAAACUAAGAAUGGUUGUGGCCAAAGAAGAACUUGAUACUCUUCUGAAUCAUCCAGAUAUUAAACAUCGUCGAAUUCCAAUCUUAUUCUUUGCAAACAAAAUGGAUCUUAGAGAUGCAGUGACAUCUGUAAAAGUGUCUCAGUUGCUGUGUUUAGAGAACAUAAAAGAUAAACCAUGGCAUAUUUGUGCUAGUGAUGCCAUAAAAGGAGAAGGAUUGCAAGAAGGUGUAGACUGGCUUCAAGAUCAGAUCCAGGCUGUGAAGACGUGAAAUAGUAGUAUUUGGAAACCUCAGAAAUUCUGACUUCAAGGAAUAUUAUAAGGCUAACUGAAUACCUUAAUUUUUUUUAAAUGUGUGUGCAUCCAAGAAUGUUUUGUAAUGUUCUGCUUGCAUUUAUGGACUCUGAAUGAGCUUUGUAAGAACAUAAAACUUCAGAGUUGAUAUGCUGUAACUAUUUUAGGAGGAUGGAGAAAGGGUUGAUUGAGAUUUCAAAUCUUCAUCUACUAUAAGGUAAUAAUAGCAGGUAUCACCAUAUAAUCACAAUAUUGUGAACUAGGUAUUACCACACAUACAGAAUUGUAUAUAAUAUAACCCUCACAAUAACCUUAUGGUUGGGUUCAGUUAUUUCUGUUUUAUGCAUUAGAAACUGAGGCCUUACAAGGAGGUUAUGUAAUUUUCCUAAGGUCACAGAACUAGUAAGCAGUGGUUCUGGCAUUCAGAACCAAGCUAUUUUCUUUAAAGUGGAUGAUUGAAGGGAUGGAAGCAUUACAGAUAUUAUAAAUAUAGAUGGAUCUGCCUGAAUAAUAACUAAAAUAAUUGAAAAAAGUCUCUCACUGGGGAGGGAGAUCAGAUGCCAAUGAUAGGGGGUAAGUCAGAGACCAAGGACUUUUUGUUUUAUGGUGAUUAAUACUAUUUAAAUUUUGAACUUUGUGUAAAUAACUGAAAAAUCAUUGCUAAAAGUUGAAUAUCACAAGCUACAGUAAUUCAUUCGUAAGCAGAUAUUUAGAAGUACUAACUUUUCCAUUUGUUUACAUGAUAUUUAAGAUCUAAUUUAUAAUCACUAUCAGCCAUUUCUACUCUAUAUUUUCAUGUAAAGAUGAUAUAGAGGCAAGUUUGGCAACAGUGCAUUCACAUUAUGCCAUAUAAGUAUGUGUACAUUGAGAUUAUUGCAUUUGUAUUUAACAUAUAAUUAAAGUAUAUCAUUAAAGCUUAAGCAAGUUUUUUUUUAAUGUUUAGAAAUCACUGGGUUAUGAAGUUUCAUUCACUAAACUCUGUAUUUAAAUAUAACACCUUGUAAAACAUUGAAAACUUAACCUGUUACAUUUUCUAUUUAAAUAUUUGUAUGUGGCCGUAUCCAGCUUGUGCUGAAUAAGGCACAAGAGCUAAGCUUUUUAUAAUGUUUGUUUAUUUAUCUUCAUCAAUUGGUGGAGAGAGAAAGAUCUUCUAUCCACAGAUUCAUUCCCCAGAUGCCUGCAAGAGCCAACAUCUAGGAACUCCAUUCUCGUCUCCCAGGUAUAUGGCAGAGGUCCAAGCACUUGAGCCAUCAUCUGCUGUCUCCCAGAAUUCAUUAACUGGAAGCUGGAUGGGAAGCAGAGCAGCCAGGAUUCAAACCGACCCUCCUAUAUAGAAUGCAGGGGUCCUAAGCAGUAGCUUAACCCACUACACCAUCACAACACUUGCCCCAUGAAAGUUGAGUUUUAUGUAUUUGUUUUUCACUCAUAGAUUGUCUAUUAAGUAUUAUAAAACUGUCUUCUGAUUGAGAUAUUUCUUUCUCUGAAACUUUUGACAUAUUAUUAAUUCCGUAAAUACAAGAUUACUUCAGACAGUUCAUGGAGAAAUGGAAUUAAAACAUAAGUUUUAUUUUGUUUCAGGAAAUUUUGAAAUCCACGCAUACUUUUUUCAUCAUAUGAAUUUUCCAAGAGUAAUUUUCUUAAUUUGUGUUUUUUAAUUUCAGUGACAGAGAGAAACAGAACUCUCAUCUGUUGGUUCACUCCCAGAUGCCCAUACUGGCCAGGGCUGGGUCAGGCUGAAGCCACAAGCCAGGGUCGCAGUCCAGGUCUCCUGUGUGGGCGGUAGCCAUUCAACCACUGGAGCCAUUACCUGCUGCCUCCCAGGGAGUGCCCUAGAAGGAAGGUGGAAUUGGGAGUGGAGGAUGCAUUUGAAGCCAGUCACUCUGACAUGGGGCACAGGCAUCCCAACCAGUGUCCUAAGUGCUAAGCCUGAUGCCCACCCCUAUGUGAACUUUUUGAAGACAUUUCAAAUGCAUGGAUUUCAAACUUUUUAAUACCAAAAUUAUAUUUUAAUUCCAUUUUUGAUGAUUUUUUUAAAGUAAUCUUAUAUAUUCAGUUACUCUAAAGACCAGUUUAGUUUUCUUAGACGGUUAAGGCUGCUAUUUAUUAGGUAGCUUACAACCAAAAUGGCACCAGCACUGUGGUGUAGUAGGUUAGGCCUCUGCCUCUGGUGCCAGCAUCUCAUAUAGGUACAGGUUUGUGUCCCAGCUGCUCCUCUUCUGAUCCAGCUCCCUGCUAACGUGCCUAGAAAGCAGUGGAAGAUGGUCCAGGUGCUCAGGCCCCUGCUGCACCCACAUGAGAGACCAGGAGAAGGCUCCUGGCUUCUGUCUUCAGAUUGGCCCAGCUGCAGCCAUUGUGGCAUCUGGGGAGUAAACCAGCCAAUGGAAGACCUCUCUCUCUGUCUCUGCCUCUCAAGUAAAUAGGUAAAUAUUUUUUUAAAAAAAUGUAUUUCUCACAGUUCUGGUAUCUAGAAGCCUGAGAUCAGGGUGCCAACAUAGUAGGGUUGUGAUGAGAGCCAACUUUCAAGUGGCAGACUGCCUUCUGGAAUCUCACAUGGCAGAAAGCAGGUGCAAGAAGAACUCUUGGGAGUCCCUUUUAUAAAGGCAUUGAUCUGAUCCUGUUAUAUCCUCACAGGGCUCCAACUUUAUGACUUUAUUACCUCCAAAAGACCUCACCUUCUAAUAUCAUUACACUAGCAGUUAGGAUUUCAAUAUGUGAAUUUUGAGAGAACAUAAAUGGUCAGUACAUUGCAAUACUUAAGGUAAAUUUGUCUUGUAGCUGGUACAGUUAGAAACCAUCACAUGUUAGCUAUGUAAUUGUUUUCUGCUAAUUAUUCCCUUUAUUAGUUUAAACAAUAAAUAUUAGAAGCUUAUCUAAAUGAAUAGAAGUGUGUACUUAUGUGACUGGAGAGAAAUACUGUAUCAUUGAGAAAUGGUUAUUGCGUUCAGUUGAAUGUUUCAGGUACGUUGGUUCUUUUUUUUUCUUACACUGGAGUGAAUCUUUCUCAGUACGGUUGCCUCUGUUCAGAUUUGUAAGGGACUACUUCAGAACCAUUACUGAAUGUUCCUCUGUGCACUCAAUUUCAAUGCUACGGUGUUAAAUGUGUCUUCUGGCAAUUUAGAAUAAAUCAGGAAAGAUACAUCUUUCUUCAAAUUUCAAGUCGUAGAAUAAUACUAGAAGUCAUCCAGUAAUAAUUGGUGUUUUGUAAAUAAAAUUUGGCUAGUAGUGACAAUAAUAAACACUUUUAUAAUUUUUACUGUGUGCCCAUACUUUGAAAGCACUCUACAUGCAUUCAAUAAUUUAAUCAUCAUAACCCUAGGAAGUAAAUGCUUUUAUUGUCUGUUAUGAAUGAAGGGUCAGAAACUACUAAAAAACUUUUUGUACAACCCUUGAGCUAAUAGUGAUUUUGCAUUUUCAAAUGGUUGCUAGUAAAAAAAAAAAAAAAAAAAAAAAAAGCAACAGAAAAACCAUAUGUGGCCCAUAAAGCAUAAAAUAUUUACUUUCAGGGCCUUUUACGUAAAAUGUUUGUCAGCGCCUGUUAUAGAUGAUGUAAGUGAGGCAAAAGAGGUUAAGUAACUUGCCUAAGGUUAUAAUGCAAAUAAAUGGAAUAACUCAGAUUUUGAGUCUAGAAGAUCUGGGUCCAGACAAUAUUCUUAACCUCUACAUAACUUUUCAAUAAAACUGAAGAUUUUUAUAAAUUGAAAUAGGACAAUUUGAAAGUACUUAUUUCUUAAAUAAUUAUAUUAAAUAUAAAAAUAGAGGCAAAUGGCUGAAAAUUAAUGCUCUUUGAAUUCUUUUAAUUUUUUUCCAAGACAGAUUGUUAAGUAUAAAUUUUCUGAAGUCUUUUUCCUUCCUCUUCUUCAUACAUGUGGCAAGAGAAGGGGGAGAUUCUGAAGCAUCAGACAUGUUAAGUUUUUAAAAUAUAACCAAACAUCCAGAUUGUGUCCAAGGAUCUGGUGUGGACUUCCUGAUUUUCCCAUGGGUUUUUACCAAUAUUUUGAGAAAAUGAUUGAUUAGUAUUGAUAGUCUUGAAAUGCAUAAUACAAUAUAGAAAUAUAAGUCUAUUUAAUUUGUGGAUUUUUAAGGUCUGUGACUACAAGUAACAACUAUAGCUAAGAAUGUUUUCUUUUUUUUUAUUUGACAGGUAGAGUUAUAGACAGUGAGAGAGAGAGAGACAGAAAGGUCUUCCUUCCGUUGGUUCACUCCCCAAAUGGCCGCUAUGGCCGGUGCUGUGCCGAUCUGAAGCCAGGAGCCAGGUGCUUCUUCCUAGUCUCCCUUUCGUAUGCAGGGGCCCAAGCAAGUGGAGGGGCCAACCUCUACUACCUUCCCCGGCCACAGCAGAGAGCUGGACUGGAAGAGGAGCAGCUGGGACUAGAACCAGCACCCAUAUGGGAUGCCGGCGCCGCAGGCGGAGGAUUUGCCAAGUGAACCACAGCACCGGCUCCAGAAUGUUUUCUUAAUUACAGACAUGGUUGUGUCUUUUGGUUAUGCUUUUGUUUUGUCGGCCCACUGCUUGGCCCCAGACAGGAGUGCAUUCACAGGAAGUAUGUAGCAAAGGGGAGGAGGUUCAUAAAUCCCCAUUUUCUUGCUGGAAGAUCAAAAAGGGUAGCCUCCGAACUAAGAAGUACUGGUGAGAUUGGGAGGAGGAGAUUGGGAAAUCAACCCCAUAAAGUUGUUUUAUGAACUCCUAAGCUUACCCUUCAACAAGAGUCUCAAACUGACUGAAAACUGAACUACAGGAUAGAUUAUGACUCAAGUCCAAAGAUUGGCUACUGGGUGGUACAAAUGUGGGAUAGAUCUAAGUAAAAAUGCAAAGUUUUGAAAACAACUUGCCAUUGGAACUACAACCUCCGUAAGACCAGAUAGAAGCUUUAGCCUGGAUCCAAACAGGUUGAUUUCUCACUAAAAUCCUCUCUUUACAAUUAAAAUAGGACUCAACUUUCAUUAUAUUCCAAAUAUGCGAGAUACAAACCCAAAAUUAAUAAAUACACAGAAACCAGAAAGGAAAAGGAAGGAAGACUUACUAAUGGAAAGAGAAAAGGCAACCAUGCCAAUGCUGAGGUAACACAGAUCUUGGAGUUACUGGACAAAGACUUAAAAACUGCUAUUACAAAAAUACUCUAAGAGUAAACACUGAAGGACAGGCAUUGUGGUCUAGUAGGUUACAAUGCUGCUUGAGAUGUCUGUAUCCCUUAUCAAAGUGCCAGUUGAGUCCUGGCUACUACUGCUUCAGAUCCCGCUCCCUGCUAAUGUGCCUGGGAAAUGGUAGAUGAUGGCUCAAGUAUUUGAUGGAAUUCCUAGCUCCUGUCUUUGGUCUGGCCCAGCCCUAGCUGUUGUUGCCCUUUGGGGAGUGAACCAGCAGAUGGAAGAUAUUUCUCUUUCUCUAUUCUUGCUCUCCCUCACUCUCUCACUCUCACUCUUACUCUUUCUCUCUCAUACACACACACGUCUCUCUCUCUCUCUCUCUUUUCCCUUCUUCCCCCACCUUCACCACUUUACCUUUCAAAAAUUUUUUUUAAUGAACACUCAAUCUCAGCAUAGAAUUAGAAGAUACAACAAAGAAGUGAAUGAAAAAUUUAGAACUGAAAAAAAAAAGCUGGAGUAAAGUUUCACUGAAUGGAUUCAAUAGAAACACAGAAAUAGCAGAUGAAAGACUCCAGGAAAUUUGAGAACAGAUUCAUGGAAAUCAUUAAUCUGAAUAACGGGACAACAAGAUAGAAUAACAUAAUGAACCAUGAGACAUUAAAAACUUGAUGUAAUCAGAGAGCCAGAAGACAGCAGAAAAAGUACAAUUUUUAAAAAGUAUUUGAGGGGCCUGUGCUGUGCUGCAGAGGUAAAGUUACCACCUGCGGAGCCGGCAUCCCAUAUGGGCACUGGGUCAAGUCCCAGUUGCUCCACUUCCAAUCCAGCUUCCUGCUAACACAACUGGGAAAGCAGCGGAAGAUGACCCAAGUACUUGGGCCUCUGUACCCGCAUGGGAGACCUGGAAGAAGCAUCUGGAUGCUAGUUUCAGAUCAACCCAGCUCCUGCUGUUGUAGCCCUUUAGGAAGUACACUAGCAGAUGGAAGAUCUCUCUGUCUCUAUAACUCUGCCUUUCAAAAAAAAAAAAGUAAAAAAGUAUUUGAAGUAAUAAUGGCUAAAAGGUUUCAAAUUUGGUGAAGGGCAUAGCUUACAGCUUUCAGAA